AUUGAACGCUGGCGGAAUGCUUUACACAUGCAAGUCGAACGGCAGCACGGGGGCAACCCUGGUGGCGAGUGGCGAACGGGUGAGUAAUACAUCGGAACGUGCCCGGUCGUGGGGGAUAACGUAGCGAAAGUUACGCUAAUACCGCAUACGAUCUGAGGAUGAAAGCGGGGGACCUUCGGGCCUCGCGCGAUCGGAGCGGCCGAUGUCAGAUUAGGUAGUUGGUGGGGUAAAGGCCUACCAAGCCGACGAUCUGUAGCUGGUCUGAGAAGACGACCAGCCACACUGGGACUGAGACACGGCCCAGACUCCUACGGGAGGCAGCAGUGGGGAAUUUUGGACAAUGGGCGCAAGCCUGAUCCAGCCAUUCCGCGUGCAGGACGAAGGCCUUCGGGUUGUAAACUGCUUUUGUAUGGAACGAAAAGGCUCUGGCUAAUACCUGGGGCUCAUGACGGUACCGUAAGAAUAAGCACCGGCUAACUACGUG
rnacentral:rRNA from 1 species